rnacentral:rRNA from 1 species
UACAGAGGUCUCAAGCGUUGUUCGGAUUCAUUGGGCGUAAAGGGUGCGUAGGUGGCGGGGUAAGUCAGGUGUGAAAUUUCGGAGCUCAACUCCGAAACUGCAUUUGAUACUGCCUUGCUUGAGGACUGGAGAGGAGACUGGAAUUUACGGUGUAGCAGUGAAAUGCGUAGAGAUCGUGAGGAAGACCAGUGGCGAAGGCGGGUCUCUGGACAGUUCCUGACACUGAGGCACGAAGGCCAGGGGAGCAAACGGG